GUUAAGCGACUAAGCGUACACGGUGGAUGCCCUGGCAGUCAGAGGCGAUGAAGGACGUGCUAAUCUGCGAUAAGCGUCGGUAAGGUGAUAUGAACCGUUAUAACCGGCGAUUUCCGAAUGGGGAAACCCAGUGUGUUUCGACACACUAUCAUUAACUGAAUCCAUAGGUUAAUGAGGCGAACCGGGGGAACUGAAACAUCUAAGUACCCCGAGGAAAAGAAAUCAACCGAGAUUCCCCCAGUAGCGGCGAGCGAACGGGGAGCAGCCCAGAGCCUGAAUCAGUGUGUGUGUUAGUGGAAGCGUCUGGAAAGGCGUGCGAUACAGGGUGACAGCCCCGUACACAAAAAUGCACAUGCUGUGAGCUCGAUGAGUAGGGCGGGACACGUGGUAUCCUGUCUGAAUAUGGGGGGACCAUCCUCCAAGGCUAAAUACUCCUGACUGACCGAUAGUGAACCAGUACCGUGAGGGAAAGGCGAAAAGAACCCCGGCGAGGGGAGUGAAAAAGAACCUGAAACCGUGUACGUACAAGCAGUGGGAGCACGCUUAGGCGUGUGACUGCGUACCUUUUGUAUAAUGGGUCAGCGACUUAUAUUCUGUAGCAAGGUUAACCGAAUAGGGGAGCCGAAGGGAAACCGAGUCUUAACUGGGCGUUAAGUUGCAGGGUAUAGACCCGAAACCCGGUGAUCUAGCCAUGGGCAGGUUGAAGGUUGGGUAACACUAACUGGAGGACCGAACCGACUAAUGUUGAAAAAUUAGCGGAUGACUUGUGGCUGGGGGUGAAAGGCCAAUCAAACCGGGAGAUAGCUGGUUCUCCCCGAAAGCUAUUUAGGUAGCGCCUCGUGAAUUCAUCUCCGGGGGUAGAGCACUGUUUCGGCAAGGGGGUCAUCCCGACUUACCAACCCGAUGCAAACUGCGAAUACCGGAGAAUGUUAUCACGGGAGACACACGGCGGGUGCUAACGUCCGUCGUGAAGAGGGAAACAACCCAGACCGCCAGCUAAGGUCCCAAAGUCAUGGUUAAGUGGGAAACGAUGUGGGAAGGCCCAGACAGCCAGGAUGUUGGCUUAGAAGCAGCCAUCAUUUAAAGAAAGCGUAAUAGCUCACUGGUCGAGUCGGCCUGCGCGGAAGAUGUAACGGGGCUAAACCAUGCACCGAAGCUGCGGCAGCGACACUAUGUGUUGUUGGGUAGGGGAGCGUUCUGUAAGCCUGUGAAGGUGUGCUGUGAGGCAUGCUGGAGGUAUCAGAAGUGCGAAUGCUGACAUAAGUAACGAUAAAGCGGGUGAAAAGCCCGCUCGCCGGAAGACCAAGGGUUCCUGUCCAACGUUAAUCGGGGCAGGGUGAGUCGACCCCUAAGGCGAGGCCGAAAGGCGUAGUCGAUGGGAAACAGGUUAAUAUUCCUGUACUUGGUGUUACUGCGAAGGGGGGACGGAGAAGGCUAUGUUGGCCGGGCGACGGUUGUCCCGGUUUAAGCGUGUAGGCUGGUUUUCCAGGCAAAUCCGGAAAAUCAAGGCUGAGGCGUGAUGACGAGGCACUACGGUGCUGAAGCAACAAAUGCCCUGCUUCCAGGAAAAGCCUCUAAGCAUCAGGUAACAUCAAAUCGUACCCCAAACCGACACAGGUGGUCAGGUAGAGAAUACCAAGGCGCUUGAGAGAACUCGGGUGAAGGAACUAGGCAAAAUGGUGCCGUAACUUCGGGAGAA
rnacentral:rRNA from 1 species